GGGGCCAUAGCUCAGCCGGGAGAGCGCAACACUGGCAGUGUUGAGGUCGGCGGUUCGAUCCCGCCUGGCUCCACCA
rnacentral:tRNA from 1 species